CUCUGAAGAUUUCUUUUUGGAUAAUGCACUUUCUGGGGUGUAAUUAUUAUGGGCAGUACUCAAAACCCAUUGGUGGCUUUUGGCUAUAUUUGGUCCAAGACUGUUUAAAAACCAAGUGAAUUGUGUGGUUUUUGUUUCUCUGGGAGAAAUGGGGGUGUUGAGUGAGGGUCUUACACAGGUUUUGAUAGUUGUAGCUUCCCUGGUUGGUAUUGGGUUUGCUUUGCUUCAAUGGUUUUUGGUGUCAAAAGUGAGGGUCUCUGUUGAGUCUGGUAAUGGUUAUAGUGAUAGAUUGAUUGGAGAGGAAGAAGAAGGUGUCGAUAAUCUUGAUGUUUCUCUCAAAUGUGCUGAAAUUCAGAAUGCUAUUUCUGUUGGGGCAACCUCAUUCCUGUAUACUGAGUACAGGUAUCUCUGUAUCUUCAUGGGUGUUUUUGGUGCCAUCAUCUUUCUCUUUCUUGGUUCAGUUCAGGGCUUCAGCACCAAAAGUGAACCUUGCACAUACAGCAAGGGGAAUCUUUGUAAACCAGCUCUGGCCAAUGCCAUCUUUAGCACAAUUGCUUUCUUGCUUGGUGCUCUCACUUCUGUCCUCUCAGGUUUUCUGGGCAUGAAGAUUGCAACCUAUGCAAAUGCUAGGACAACUCUACAAGCGAGGAAGGGUGUCGGAAAAGCCUUCAUCACAGCUUUUCGGUCUGGGGCGGUGAUGGGUUUCCUUCUUUCUGCCAAUGGGCUUUUGGUGCUCUAUGUAUCCAUCAAUUUGUUCAAGCUCUACUAUGGAGAUGACUGGGAGGGACUUUAUGAGUCCAUUACUGGUUAUGGUCUUGGAGGCUCCUCAAUGGCACUCUUUGGAAGAGUUGGAGGGGGAAUAUACACAAAAGCAGCUGAUGUUGGUGCUGACCUUGUUGGUAAAGUUGAAAGAAAUAUCCCUGAAGAUGAUCCAAGAAAUCCAGCUGUUAUUGCUGAUAAUGUGGGUGACAAUGUCGGAGACAUUGCUGGGAUGGGUUCUGAUCUAUUUGGGUCUUAUGCUGAAUCAUCUUGUGCAGCACUUUUCGUUGCGUCAAUUUCACAAUUUGGUGUCGUCCAUGACUACACAGCCAUGUCUUAUCCAUUGAUUAUAAGUGCAAUGGGAAUAGUAGUUUGCCUGAUAACUACACUUUUUGCAACUGAUCUGUUUGAGAUUAAGAAUGUAAGUGAAAUUGAACCAUCAUUGAAGAGACAACUUGUUAUCUCAACCAUUCUGAUGACUGCUGGGAUUGCCAUGGUCAGCUUCUUAGCUUUACCAUCAGAAUUCACCCUCUAUGAUUUCGGGACUGACAAGCUUGUAAAGAACUGGCACCUUUUCUUUUGUGUCUCUAUUGGCUUGUGGGCCGGACUUGUUAUUGGAUUUACAACCGAGUACUAUACUAGCAAUGCUUACAGUCCAGUGCAGGAUGUAGCAGAUUCUUGCAGGACUGGUGCUGCAACAAAUGUGAUAUUUGGAUUAGCUCUGGGAUACAAAUCUGUCAUAAUUCCUAUAUUUUCCAUUGCAAUUGCUAUCUAUGUUAGCUUUAGCAUGGCUGCCAUGUAUGGUAUUGCCAUGGCUGCUUUAGGAAUGCUUAGUACAAUUUCUACUGGUCUAGCAAUUGAUGCUUAUGGACCCAUAAGUGACAAUGCUGGAGGUAUUGCUGAAAUGGCUGGAAUGAGUCACAAGAUACGUGAAAGAACAGAUGCUUUAGAUGCUGCUGGAAAUACCACUG
rnacentral:misc_RNA from 1 species